GCGGCGCUGGGCGGCGGUCGCCGUCGGCUUCCUCGGGGUCGUCGUGAUCCUGCGCCCGGGCAUGGCGGUGUUCGACCCGGCGGCACUGAUCC
rnacentral:tRNA from 1 species